GAAGUAGUAGCUCAGUGGUUAAGACAGCGGACUUUUGCUCGGAAGGUCAUGAGUUCAAAUCCCAGCACCAGCA